CCUACGGGUGGCAGCAGUGAGGAAUAUUGGUCAAUGGGCGCGAGCCUGAACCAGCCAAGUAGCGUGAAGGAUGACUGCCCUACGGGUUGUAAACUUCUUUUAUAAAGGAAUAAAGUGAGGCACGUGUGCCUUUUUGUAUGUACUUUAUGAAUAAGGAUCGGCUAACUCCGUGCCAUCAGCCGCGGUAAUACGGAGGGUCCGAGCGUUAUCCGGAUUUAUUGGGGUUAAAGGGAGCGUAGAUGGGGUGUUAAGUCAGUUGUGAAAGUUUGCGGCUCAACCGUAAAAUUGCAAUUGAUACUGGCAGUCUUGAGUACAGUUGAGGUAGGCGGAAUUCGUGGUGUAGCGGUGAAAUGCGUAGAUAUCACGAAGAACUCCGAUUGCGAAGGCAGCUUACUAAACUGCCACUGACAUUGAUGCUCGAAAGUGUGGGUAUCAAACAGGAUUAGAUACCCUAGUAGUC
rnacentral:rRNA from 1 species